GACGAACGCUGGCGGCGUGCCUAAUACAUGCAAGUAGAACGCUGAAGAGAGGAGCUUGCUCUUCUUGGAUGAGUUGCGAACGGGUGAGUAACGCGUAGGUAACCUGCCUGGUAGCGGGGGAUAACUAUUGGAAACGAUAGCUAAUACCGCAUAAAAUGGAUUAUCGCAUGAUAAUGCAUUGAAAGGUGCAAAUGCAUCCCUACCAGAUGGACCUGCGUUGUAUUAGCUAGUUGGUGGGGUAACGGCUCACCAAGGCGACGAUACAUAGCCGACCUGAGAGGGUGAUCGGCCACACUGGGACUGAGACACGGCCCAGACUCCUACGGGAGGCAGCAGUAGGGAAUCUUCGGCAAUGGACGGAAGUCUGACCGAGCAACGCCGCGUGAGUGAAGAAGGUUUUCGGAUCGUAAAGCUCUGUUGUAAGAGAAGAACGAGUGUGAGAGUGGAAAGUUCACACUAUGACG
rnacentral:rRNA from 1 species